CCAGACUUUUUCCGUGAUUCAACUGCCCUCUGGUGGAAGAAUGAGAUUAAAGAACUCCACAGCAACUCACAGGAUCCUGCAAAGAGCUUGAAGUUUGAUGGCCUGUGGAUUGACAUGAAUGAACCUUCCAGCUUUGUGAAUGGGGCAGUUCCUUCCGGCUGCACUGACACUACUCUGAACCGUCCUCCCUACAUGCCACAUUUGGAAGCCAGGGACAGGGGCCUGAGCAGCAAGACCCUGUGCAUGGAGAGCGAGCACAUCCUUCCAGAUGGCUCCCGGGUGCGGCACUAUGAUGUAC
rnacentral:lncRNA from 1 species